rnacentral:rRNA from 1 species
AGGGAAUUUUCCACAAUGGACGCAAGUCUGAUGGAGCAACGCCGCGUGAACGAUGAAGGUCUUCGGAUUGUAAAGUUCUGUUGUUAGGGACGAAACCGUACCGUUCGAAUAGGGCGGUACCUUGACGGUACCUAAUUAGAAAGCCACGGCUAACUACGUGCCAGCAGCCGCGGUAAUACGUAGGUGGCAAGCGUUGUCCGGAAUUAUUGGGCGUAAAGCGCGCGCAGGCGGCUAUGUAAGUCUGAUGUUAAAGCCCGAGGCUCAACCUCGGUUCGCAUUGGAAACUGUGUAGCUUGAGUGCAGAAGAGGAAAGCGGUAUUCCACGUGUAGCGGUGAAAUGCGUAGAGAUGUGGAGGAACACCAGUGGCGAAGGCGGCUUUCUGGUCUGUAACUGACGCUGAGGCGCGAAAGCGUGGGGAGCAAAC